UUUAACCUUUCCUCUACCGCCACUCUCUCUAGCGAUCUCUACUUUCCACCCUAACCAUUAGUCGGCUCUCUUGUGCAAUUGAUAGACAGAGAAAGGUCGACGAAAUCAACAAACAGACGAAGAUGAAGUCUCCAUCUGUCUCUGUCUGCCAAUUGAGAGACUAAUCUUUGUCUCUUCGUACCGAGAGAGACUAAUCAUCCUCGUCUCUUCGGUUGGUAUGUUGAAGAGGAAGAAGGAUGCUAUUGUUAAUAUUGGCUCUGGUGCUGCCGUUGUCAUUCCUUCUGAUCUUCUGUAUUCUGUCUACGCCGCCACUAAAGCGGAUAUCGAUUAAUUUUCAAGGUGUUUGUAUGUUGAAUACAAGAAAAGCGGGGUCGAUGUGCAGUGUCAGGUACUUUUGCGAUGUUUCGAUUGAAGUUUUUUGAGGUUGGAAAAAGAAAUACAACAAACGAAAGAAAGAAAGUUCACAUCCAAAUUCGUCGACUUGUAAAAUAUAGUAGUUUGUCGAACAAAUCUCUUUCACAAAGCUCUAUGUUCCAGCCAUUUGCGAUUUUAUAGAAUGUUUAUCUGACAAUAACUAUUGGUUCAUCUUGGUGCAGCGCUAGUGGGACUUUGUAAAAAACUCUUAGAAGCUCAAGCGGAUACAAGGCUGCAAUGCUAAAUAAUGCUUCUCAGUCACAAAUGCUGGACACUGAAAGCCAGCCUCUGGAAUUUUUUCCAGACACCCGGGCAGACCAAUAAUCACCUCCUUCUGCCUUUUUAGUCUAGUAUUUUUUUUUUUUUUCAUUUUUGUCCUAGGAGGGUUUAUGCUCUCUUUUUGGCAUCGCCUGCAGAGAAUGCCAUUAAAUCUGAGCCAUGUUAUUAUAGUUCAUUUUAUUCCAUUGAAUCGUUAAAUUUA